GCGAAUUCAUCCUGCUGCUUCUUUCUCUUCCUCCCUGGUGUCCCCACACCCUGGGCUCCCUGCCUUGUUACCUUUUACAACACUGCUGUUUCUUCCUGGGAUGUAAGGCUUCAUCUUCCUGUUGCAGUCUCAUUUUGGGAUCAUGCCCUGCCCUCCACCACUGAGAAGCUAAGAAAGCUGAAGAUCCUCUCCCAGAAAACCUGCAGCAGGAUUUGUGUUUGCUGGAGGGGGGCCUGGUGGCCCUUCUUCAGGGGGUCCGGCACCGAUGGGCUGCUGCCAACCUCCGCUGCAUUUGCCUUCCUGCCCAAAGGACAUCUCGGAGUCCGAGCAACGGGUGGGGCGGCGCCCCUGUCUUAGGUCCCAGUUUUUUUAUCAGAGAAAGUGGAGAGCUGCUCAGAAUAUAUCACUUGCCAAUGGCACUAGCCUACACCUUUAAAAAAACUCUUUGACCCAAAGACAA